rnacentral:rRNA from 1 species
AGUGAACGCUGGCGGUAGGCCUAACACAUGCAAGUCGAACGGCAGCACAGGAGAGCUUGCUCUCUGGGUGGCGAGUGGCGGACGGGUGAGGAAUACAUCGGAAUCUACUUUUUCGUGGGGGAUAACGUAGGGAAACUUACGCUAAUACCGCAUACGACCUACGGGUGAAAGCAGGGGAUCUUCGGACCUUGCGCGAUUGAAUGAGCCGAUGUCGGAUUAGCCAGUUGGCGGGGUAAAGGCCCACCAAGGCGACGAUCCGUAGCUGGUCUGAGAGGAUGAUCAGCCACACUGGAACUGAGACACGGUCCAGACUCCUACGGGAGGCAGCAGUGGGGAAUAUUGGACAAUGGGCGCAAGCCUGAUCCAGCCAUACCGCGUGGGUGAAGAAGGCCUUCGGGUUGUAAAGCCCUUUUGUUGGGAAAGAAAUCCAGCUGGCUAAUACCCGGUUGGGAUGACGGUACCCAAAGAAUAAGCACCGGCUAACUUCGUGCCAGCAGCCGCGGUAAUAC